UGCCAGCCGCCGCGGUAAUACGGAGGGUGCAAGCGUUGUUCGGAAUGACUGGGCGUAAAGCGCGCGUAGGCGGGUUUGUAUGUCGGAUGUGAAAGCCCCAGGCUCAACCUGGGAAUUGCACCCGAAACUGCAGAUCUUGAAUACUUGAGGGGCUAGUGGAAUUCCAGGUGUAGGAGUGAAAUCCGUAGAUAUCUGGAGGAACAUCGGAGGCGAAGGCGACUAGCUGGCAAUGUAUUGACGCUGAGGUGCGAAAGCGUGGGGAGCAAACAGGAUUAGAUA
rnacentral:rRNA from 1 species